UCAUCUCCGGGGGUAGAGCACUGUUUCGGCAAGGGGGUCAUCCCGACUUACCAACCCGAUGCAAACUGCGAAUACCGGAGAAUGUUAUCACGGGAGACACACGGCGGGUGCUAACGUCCGUCGUGAAGAGGGAAACAACCCAGACCGCCAGCUAAGGUCCCAAAGUCAUGGUUAAGUGGGAAACGAUGUGGGAAGGCCCAGACAGCCAGGAUGUUGGCUUAGAAGCAGCCAUCAUUUAAAGAAAGCGUAAUAGCUCACUGGUCGAGUCGGCCUGCGCGGAAGAUGUAACGGGGCUAAACCAUGCACCGAAGCUGCGGCAGCGACGCUUAUGCGUUGUUGGGUAGGGGAGCGUUCUGUAAGCCUGCGAAGGUGUGCUGUGAGGCAUGCUGGAGGUAUCAGAAGUGCGAAUGCUGACAUAAGUAACGAUAAAGCGGGUGAAAAGCCCGCUCGCCGGAAGACCAAGGGUUCCUGUCCAACGUUAAUCGGGGCAGGGUGAGUCGACCCCUAAGGCGAGGCCGAAAGGCGUAGUCGAUGGGAAACAGGUUAAUAUUCCUGUACUUGGUGUUACUGCGAAGGGGGGACGGAGAAGGCUAUGUUGGCCGGGCGACGGUUGUCCCGGUUUAAGCGUGUAGGCUGAUUUUCCAGGUAAAUCCGGAAAAUCAAGGCUGAGGCGUGAUGACGAGGCACUACGGUGCUGAAGCAACAAAUGCCCUGCUUCCAGGAAAAGCCUCUAAGCAUCAGGUAACAUCAAAUCGUACCCCAAACCGACACAGGUGGUCAGGUAGAGAAUACCAAGGCGCUUGAGAGAACUCGGGUGAAGGAACUAGGCAAAAUGGUGCCGUAACUUCGGGAGAAGGCACGCUGAUAUGUAGGUGAAGUCCCUUGCGGAUGGAGCUGAAAUCAGUCGAAGAUACCAGCUGGCUGCAACUGUUUAUUAAAAACACAGCACUGUGCAAACACGAAAGUGGACGUAUACGGUGUGACGCCUGCCCGGUGCCGGAAGGUUAAUUGAUGGGGUUAGCGNGCGAAGCUCUUGAUCGAAGCCCCGGUAAACGGCGGCCGUAACUAUAACGGUCCUAAGGUAGCGAAAUUCCUUGUCGGGUAAGUUCCGACCUGCACGAAUGGCGUAAUGAUGGCCAGGCUGUCUCCACCCGAGACUCAGUGAAAUUGAACUCGCUGUGAAGAUGCAGUGUACCCGCGGCAAGACGGAAAGACCCCGUGAACCUUUACUAUAGCUUGACACUGAACAUUGAGCCUUGAUGUGUAGGAUAGGUGGGAGGCUUUGAAGUGUGGACGCCAGUCUGCAUGGAGCCGACCUUGAAAUACCACCCUUUAAUGUUUGAUGUUCUAACGUUGGCCCCUNAUCGGGGUUGCGGACAGUGUCUGGUGGGUAGUUUGACUGGGGCGGUCUCCUCCUAAAGAGUAACGGAGGAGCACGAAGGUUGGCUAAUCCUGGUCGGACAUCAGGAGGUUAGUGCAAUGGCAUAAGCCAGCUUGACUGCGAGCGUGACGGCGCGAGCAGGUGCGAAAGCAGGUCAUAGUGAUCCGGUGGUUCUGAAUGGAAGGGCCAUCGCUCAACGGAUAAAAGGUACUCCGGGGAUAACAGGCUGAUACCGCCCAAGAGUUCAUAUCGACGGCGGUGUUUGGCACCUCGAUGUCGGCUCAUCACAUCCUGGGGCUGAAGUAGGUCCCAAGGGUAUGGCUGUUCGCCAUUUAAAGUGGUACGCGAGCUGGGUUUAGAACGUCGUGAGACAGUUCGGUCCCUAUCUGCCGUGGGCGCUGGAGAACUGAGGGGGGCUGCUCCUAGUACGAGAGGACCGGAGUGGACGCAUCACUGGUGUUCGGGUUGUCAUGCCAAUGGCACUGCCCGGUAGCUAAAUGCGGAAGAGAUAAGUGCUGAAAGCAUCUAAGCACGAAACUUGCCCCGAGAUGAGUUCUCCCUGACUCCCUGAGAGUCCUGAAGGAACGUUGAAGACGACGACGUUGAUAGGCCGGGUGUGUAAGCGCAGCGAUGCGUUGAGCUAACCGGUACUAAUGAACCGUGAGGCUUAACCUU
rnacentral:rRNA from 1 species